UCUCGCUCCUUUGACUCUCUCUGUUUUUGUUUCCUCUCCUCUCAGUCUGUAAGGGCUUAACUGACAAAUAAGUUCACCUAGAAAGCCAGUUAGCUCACAUUUAGCCACAUUAUUGCUAAUAUUUUAAAGUAAGUCAAAACUACUCACUAACUUCCUGGAAGGACUCACCAUGAAUGAGAGCAGGCGUACGUCAAUGACCUUCUUCAGACUGACGACGCCCCCUUUUGGGUGAAAAGAGUUCCUACUGGCGCCGUUCCUAAAAGCUACUCAUCAGACAAUGAAAUAAACUGUCCAUCUGUCCGUCCCUCUGUGUCCAACUCUUCCUCACAGGUUAGUUAAUGACAGACAGUCAGUGAGUGUGUGUGUGUCCAACUCUUCCUCACAGGUUAGUUAAUGACAGACAGUCAGUGAGUGUGUCUGUGUCCAACUCUUCCUCACAGGUUAGUUAAUGACAGACAGUCAGUGAGUGUGUCUGUGUCCAACUCUUCCUCACAGGUUAGUUAAUGAUGUUACUGAGUCAAUGUGAGCAGAUUGUGUCUGUAGACUGAAGAGAAUCAGAGUCUCACUGAUGGUGGAAAUAAAGGUUUUACUUCCUUAAAACA